rnacentral:rRNA from 1 species
UACGGAGGGAGCAAGCGUUACUCGGAAUUAUUGGGCGUAAAGGGCGCGUAGGCGAUUUGAAAAGUCUUGUGUGAAAGCCCCGAGCUUAACUCGGGAAGUGCACAAGAAACUGUUGAAUUUGAGUUCCGGAGAGGAAGGCAGAAUUCCCGGUGUAGCGGUGAAAUGCGCAGAUAUCAGGAGGAACACCGGUGGCGAAGGCGGGUCUCUGGGCAGUAACUGACGCUGAGGAGCGAAAGCGUGGGGAGCGAACAGG